rnacentral:sRNA from 1 species
UACUUUUAUUAUGCACAUUUGUCUUGUACUUUUGUACUCGAGAGUUUUAGCCCACAAAUAAUAUAAAUACUUGAGUGUGUGAAUCCGACAUCCACAGUCCUUUGCUCCGGUUGAUCAAUAUGUUGCUCAAACUCGAUUUGCUGCUCAUAGUCAGCUUGAGUAAAGUACUCAUGUUGCUCAUAUUCAGCUUAACUAUAUUCCGGUUCAUCCUCUCGAGUUCCUCCAAUGUCGAUGUUCAAGGCAGAGGGAGAUGGCAUGAAAUUGAUGUUGCGCCUUGUCUUCACUGAAGUCCGGUUCUCGCAUGGUAGGGGCAACAGAGUCAAAGCUCCGUAUGGUUGAACUUGAAGAGGUAGCGAUCCGCUGGAGUUAUUUUCUCAAGAAAAUCCUUCCCCUUGAGAUAGUCGAGGUCAAUGAACUUAGGUAAUACGUUAGGUGUUCCGAAUUCCAUACCCACAGUUCCUAGUAUUGGCGUUAAGAGACCACUAACACAAAGACUCCCGCGAAUUCCCGAGCGAUGGAUGGUUGCAGCAUACUCCUUGUAGCUCAAGAGGUGAUCUAAGAGAACAACACUCAGCGAAGUGUCCGCUCUAUCACCCGCCAUCUUCCUCCCAUCUUUUGUCUCCCUCAAAAUGAAGACCAAAGAUUGCUCUAUCAUGCAUAGCUCCUUUUCACUAACGAAUCCGGUGGCCUUCUUUGGAAAGAGGAUGUUGGCGAUGCAUUGAUGGAGGUAUCUAAUCACAGGAUUUCCGAUUGAAGAACUCUUGCUCUUGGUUGGCGAGAAGGGCUUCGGACCGGCAAUUGUCUUCCAAAGAGAUUUCAGCUCUUCUUGAUCAUAGUCUUGGCAGAUUCCUUCGCCACUUGGAAACCCGAAAAUUGUAUCAAGAUGGCGAAUAUCAAAAGUAUACUCGACAUCCCUAACCUUGAAAGUUAUGUAACCAAGACCUCCUCACUCCUCUUUCUCUGAAUCAUCAACACAAAAAUGAACCUUGAGGGUUGCAAGGAGUUGGCAGCUCUCCUCUUUGUAUCCCCCACAUUGGCAGCUCAUGUAUGUUGCAAGAUUGGCCAAUUCCAUCAAGUAUUCGACAUCACCACAAAUACCAAGCUCUUGCAUUGUUUCCUUAUGAGGGUAUCUAGUUCCGUCAAACUUCAACUCCUUUAAGUAUUGAUAGUACUCGCUCGGGGUUGGCUCUCUCUUUCUCCUUGGCUGGUUUCUUCUCCCAACAGGGGUUGGUGUAUCAUCCCGAUGAUCUCAACCUCUUCCUCAGAAACCGCUUCUUCAAAGGGUGCCUCUUCAUGGUGUUCUUCUUCAGCUUCAACGACCCUCUUUCCCUGAUCUACUUCUUCUCUUUGCAUGGUUGAGCGGCUAGAGCUUCCUCCUUGAAUCGAGCUUGAUCUUUGAGCACGACGAGCUUGGCGAAUUUGGCGUUCAGUCAUCUCACUCAUGUCAAACGCCUCAACUUCUUCAUUAUCAACAGAGGAUCUUCUUGCCCGAGAUGAACUAUUCCUUCUUGAAUCCAUGGAGAUUGGUGGUGAAUUUCAAUAAAGCAAUUAAAAACAACUCUCCAAGAGGUAUCAAAAGAGAAGGGGAAUCGGUUUCUUUGGUGAUAAAAUUUUGAGCUUGAAACCGAUUGAAUGCUUGAGGAUAGACUUUGGAGUGGUCGAGUAACUUUGGUGAAGUACUGGUGAAGUGAAAACGAAUUCGUGAUAAGGAGAGUUUGAAAUGAAACUUUGGAGCUUUGUGAGAGAGUUUGCGAAAAUGAGAUGAUGAAAGAGAGAUGUUUCAAAAGUGGUUUGGAGAUUUCAAUGGGUGGAGGAGGAUGGCCUUGGGAUUCUCUUUGGAAGGAUAGUAAAGGCGAGUUGGAAAUGGUGAGGGGCAUGGGUAAAUGGUUUGUCCAUUGAGUAAUGAAGUGAAGGGGAACAUGUGGGCCACUUGACCUCACUCCUUGGUCGCCGAAUCAUUCAGGCUCGAGUAAAGGAUCGGGCAUCCUCUUGAAGUGCGAAAUACUUGAUCAAACGGUGGAGAAUGCUUCUCCCUUGGUUACUCGAUCAAACGGUGAGGGUGAUUUCCCACAUUUAGUCAUUCAAAUCAAUGGCUCAAAAUGCUCCUCCUCAUUCUACUCGAUCAAUGGUUAAGAUCUUUCUUGACUUGGUUUGAAUUUACUCGACCGUUGACUCCCUUAGGGUCACUAAAACAAACCUGAAACACUUAAACAAAAACAUCAAAAAUAACAAGAAAAAUAGAAAGUUAUAUACAUGGAUAGACAUGGGACUUCCUCCCAAGUGAGCUUGUUUUAAGUCACUAAGGUUGACUCUUACAGAGCUUAGUCAGAAAAAAGGUUGAAGAGAGGAACAGAGAAGUCCUCAUCUUCUGUGGUUGAAUUUUCAUUGCUUGAAUCAUACUCUGCAUCCUCUCUUGAGAUAUGGUAGGAUGAGUACUCAUUUGAUUUUUCUUCAAAGUAAGCUUCUUCCUGAUCAGCAGAGUAAUCUUCUUCUUCUGAACCAGGUUCCUUUUACCAAUCCUCAAAUUCAAAACUAGGGUAGCCUCUAACCAUUUCUUGAAGUUCCAAGAUUGCAUGGUUCAGUCCUUCCAUCUUGUAAGUUAGCUCCCCAAUGGUAUCCUCUUGAGCUUUGUAUCCAACCUAGAGUUCCAGAAGUUCUUCAGCAACAGGAUCAUGAAUCAAGUGUUCUUCUUCAGCAGAGGGGUUGGUGGGCUGUUUAGGCACUCCUGGAGAAUAAGUCGGAAUAGGAGUAUCCUCCUCACUCAACAACUUGCUCUCUAGGCUUCUUUUCUCUAAGUGAACUCCUUUCUGAUCUUCUGGUGCAAACCAUUCUGUUGUGAAAUCUUCAUCCUCCUUGAUAGCUAGUGAAGUUUCCAUCUUCUCUGGAUCAAUACCAUUUGAAAACUUUUUAACUCUUUUUUUUAUACAUCCAUAGUUAAUCUUUCAGCUUCAUCACCCUUGAAGACAAUCCUUCUAUGACUCUGCUUUGCCAUUUAAAUUUUUUUCCCAUCGCAUACUAGUCAUCUUCUGUAGGAUCUUCAGUCUGAGCUAACUCUUCCAUUGCCCUCUUCUUGUGGUCAAAAGUUCGCUUCAGCUUGCUGAGUUGGGAAGUAUAGUUGACUUUUGGUGAGGUUCCUACUUCUGUUUUUUCAUCAACAUCCAUGUCCUAAAUCCCAAAAUUCUGAACUCCGGUUGUUGAUUUCCGUGAAGCCUUGCUGAUGUCAAAUCUCAUCUUGAUACCUUUUUCAAGGUUUAGAUCAAUUUUUCCAUUCCUGACAUCUAUGACUGCUCCAGCUGAAGCUAAGAAUGGUCUGCCUAGGAUAAGGGGAUCCUUGCCUUCUUCAUCUACGUCCAAUACCACAAAAUCUGUAGGUAUCUCAACAUUUACAAUCUUGACAGGCAGAUUUUCUAUUAGACCAUUAGUAUGUGCAACAGAAUCAUCAGCUAAGAGUAAAGCUAAGUUGCAGAACUUGUAUUCCAUGAUCCUUAGCCUUUUAGCUGUAGAGAGAGGCAAAAGGCUAACAGAUGCUCCCAAAUCACAAAGGCACCUAUUGAAUGUCAAUGGUCCUAGAGAGCAUGGCAGAGUGAAUGAACCAGGAUCAUCAAGCUUUUCUUGGAUGACUUUCUUCUUGUAUGUUUCUUGGGUAGAGGCACUGCUAAUCAUCUCUUGAUUCUGAUCUUUCCUGAGUUUUUCAGUUUUGAACUUUUUUCAAGAAUGGUGAGUAUUUAGCAAAGUUGUGUGCUCUAUAGUCCAGAUGAAUUGCUUGGUGGCAGGUGCAGCAAUUUGAGUUGAAUCCCCCCCCCCCAUUCUUGAAUCAUACUGUCCUCAGUAUGGAGGGUUUGAUUACUUGGUGGAGACUCAUCUUCAUGGUGGAUGGUGAUAGCAUUCGCAGUAGCAUAGUCCUUAGGAUUCUGGACUGCUUUCCCUAGAAGUUGCUGAGGAUGCUUCGGAGCAGAGGUUGAUGCAAAUUGACUCUCCACAUACUUGAUUUUGGAAUUCAGAGCUUCGAACUUGACAUUUAGAUCGUUGUAAGAACAAUCGAUCUUGUUGUGUAAUUCAGCUAUCUUCUUGUCAAAAGCCAUCGGGCCACUCGCUUAUCCAUGAAUGAUUUGUUGAAUGAGUUGCUUAAUUUCGGGAUCUUUAGCUGUUGGGGCUUGUUGUGGUUGUUGAGUGAACCCUGGUGGUGGAUUCUGCUGUUGGUAGCCUCCAUUAAACUGUUGUUUAGGGGCAUAACCUUGGUUGUACUGAACAAAAGGCUUGGACUGAUUCUAUUGUCGUGGAUACACUUGAUCUUGGGGGUUAGCUACAUUAGUGAUUUUGUAGGAGAGGUUUGGGUUGGGCUUGUAGUUGUUGUACUCCUUGUUGAACCCUCCUUGGUUCUGGAUGUAGCACAGCUCUUCAGUUUGAUCAUUCCCCCCUUCUUGCAUUUGGAAGUGCUCUUCAUCAGUUAUGUAGUGUAUGUGCUUCUGCUGAGCCAGCAACAACUUGUCUAACUUUUCAUUUAGAGCCUUGAUAUCUUUGCUUUGAUUAUCCUCACUACCUCCAGUUCCUCUCACUAAGCGAUCAUAGUCUUCAUUGUAUCACCCAUCAGAUUGUGCUAGAUUUUCGACCAACUCCCAUCCUUUUUCUACAUCCUUGUUCAGGAAGUUUCCAUUGGAGGUUGUGUCGAGAAGCAUUAUGAUCUUUGGUAAAGCUCCUCUGUAGAGUGUGCUCAAAUAAUGAAGCCUUCUUAAAACCGUGAUGGGGGCACUGAGUGGUGUAGCUUUUAAACCUCUCCCAAGCUUCACAGAAUGUUUCAUUGUUUUUCUGUGUGAAACCUCAGAUCUCGUUCCUCAAUCUAGCGGUGCAAGCGUUAGAGAAGAACUUGGCAAGAAAAGCUUUCUUACAAUCGUCCCAUGAGUUGAUGGAGUCUGGGGGCAGAGUCUUCUCCCAGUGGUGUGUCUUGGCUCCCAAAGAGAAGGGAAAUAGUCUGAGCUUAAACAUAUCUUCAGUGACACCAUUGAUCUUAGUAAGGCCACAGAGCCUAUCAAAGCUGUCAAGAUGGUCCAGGGGAUCUUCCAUAGGUAGACCAUGAAACUUGUUUCCUUGGAUCAUUGAGAUGAGACCACUCUUGAUCUCAAAGUUGUUGUUCUGAACUGGUGGUGACACUAUCCCUUGUCUUUGGUGAUGAUUCCUUGGGGCAUCACUGAUAACACUGUAUUUUACUCAUUUUAGGUGUAUGUUUAUCAUCAUUUAGCUUUGCAUUUGCUCAUUGUAU